rnacentral:rRNA from 1 species
AUUGAACGCUGGCGGCAUGCCUUACACAUGCAAGUCGAACGGCAGCACGGGAGCAAUCCUGGUGGCGAGUGGCGAACGGGUGAGUAAUAUAUCGGAACGUGCCCAGUCGUGGGGGAUAACGCAGCGAAAGCUGUGCUAAUACCGCAUACGAUCUAAGGAUGAAAGCGGGGGAUCGCAAGACCUCGCGCGAUUGGAGCGGCCGAUAUCAGAUUAGCUAGUUGGUGGGGUAAAGGCCCACCAAGGCGACGAUCUGUAGCUGGUCUGAGAGGACGACCAGCCACACUGGAACUGAGACACGGUCCAGACUCCUACGGGAGGCAGCAGUGGGGAAUUUUGGACAAUGGGCGCAAGCCUGAUCCAGCAAUGCCGCGUGCAGGAUGAAGGCCUUCGGGUUGUAAACUGCUUUUGUACGGAACGAAACGGCCCUUUCUAAUACAAGGGGCUAAUGACGGUACCGUAAGAAUAAGCACCGGCUAACUACGUGCCAGCAGCCGCAGUAAGAC